AAACCUUUUUAAUGGAAAAAACUUCAUAGAAAAUAUCCUUUUACUUUUUUAAUAACAUAUAACUAUAUACAUGAUUAAAAACUGUAACAAAAAGCUGCGGGGACUGGAAAAAUGUUUUGUUGGAUCCAUGCAGAUGGUACAUCUAAAAGAAGGAUUUCACAAAUCCAUGUACAUCAAAUGGAGCUGCAGUGACAGGGUUGAAAAAAAUGGCAACUCUAUAUUAUUUACCUGAAGGUACUGGGAAUAGAGCACAGACAUACAAGAUACACAAAAAGAAUACAAAAGAGUACACGGUGUAAAUGCUGUUAGCACAGGAAGAGUCUUUUUUAAGUAAAUAGGAGAAAAAAAGUAAAAUCUCCUUUUUCAGAUUUUGUAUUGCAGUUUAAAAGAUAACUAAUCUCUUACUUGCCGUAUUUUGGUUUUCUUCACUCUGACGUACACUACAUUUCAAACUACAUGGCAUUUGCAUUUAACAACUCAGGAAUAUUUUGAUUCAUCUCCAUGUCUGCAAAUGUACUGUCAUUUCUGAAUAACAUCAUGUAUACAUAUUGCUUUAAAAACACAUACACAGUUUGACAUGAGUUAGAAAUACAAAAUAUUAAGGGCCACCACACUACAGAGUGCUGGAUACUCUUGUCCUGAUCCAGCAGUAAGUUUAAGGACACGCACAACUUCAAAUCUGUGAGGAAUUCCUCAGAGAGUAAAGGAAAUUAAGAACAUGCAGAAGUGAUUCGCUGGUCAGAUCUGGAGUUUUCAACAGUUCAUAGUUACAGACUCUGCAGCUAGGGGAACUGUUACACCUGAGGCCAUAAUUCUGUCCUUCCACCCCAGAUAAUGGAGCUACCCAGUGUAGAUGAUUUACUGUACUGCUUAAAAUAAAUUUUCUUAAUUCUAAGUUAAAAUGUAAAAUGAAACCUCCUUUUAAAAAAGUAUGGGGAAUCAAUGAGCUCUGCAGUUGGGAAGGAGAAAGAGAUGGUGUUUAAUUUGUCAGUUACAAGUUGGAAGAGAUUCUAUAGGCAGCAGGUAAUAAUGUGAUUGAUAGGUUUUAAACACCUCACUUCUAAAGCAACUUGCACAUAUUUUUGUCCUGGGCCAAGAAAAAAGAACAGAUAUAAUUGAGAAGUCAGUACCAGCCAGUAAGCUCAUCUGAGGCUCACAACCAUGGUGAGCAUUGCAAGUCCCCAUGUAGUAAGAAAAUAAAGUCAAGCUUACUUCUUGUCAGGUGGGCUUUUGCUGGGUUCUUCCUGCUGUAACAAAUACUUAGUAAUUCCCAGUGUUACCAUGGGCAGUUUAAUAGCAGACAAACAAAUGGAGUCUGCAUGUGCAUAUACUUGUUUAAAAAAGAGAAAAGGUGAAAACAACAGUAGCAACACCAAAGCUAAACAAGCAGUGAAAGCUGAAAUUAUCUGUGAAGCCUUGGGAAUCUGUUCUCGUCCUCCUUAACACCCUCCCACCCUGUCUGGCCAAGCUCUUUUGGCAGGCAGGUAAAACCUUGCAAGUUGCUGUAAGUGAAGGAGGAUUUUUGCUUAAUGCAAGACAAAAACUAAUUAUGAAAAUAAGCUUUCAAAACCAAAUCCCUGUGGGUCGUGAAAGCCAAAUCUCACUGAUAAGUAUUUGGAUUUUGUUAUCCA
rnacentral:lncRNA from 1 species